rnacentral:rRNA from 1 species
AUGGCCGUGACUAGUGCUGACGAUGCGGCGAGCAGGCUGAGGAUGAUCAACGCCGGCAGUGCUGCUACCCGUGGCGCCUUUGCCGCAUCGGAGUGGGGCGGUUUCUUCAUCACCCACGACCCUCCUCGCCCGCAGGCAUGGCAUACAUAUAUACUCCUUCCAUUUGCAGAUCUACCUUUGCUCGUUUUCCAUUUUGCACAACCUCCAUUGCAAAGGUCGGAAGAGUGGAUGAGGGAGAGGGUGGAGGAGCUAAAGGGGCGAGUCCGCACGAUGUUCUCCGACGGCAGUGUGGCUGAGGCGGUGACAUUGAUGGACACACUUGAGCGUCUCGGCGUGGAUGGCCACUUCCGCGAAGAGAUUGACUCGGCCAUAAGCCGGAUCGUUCACCCGGAUGAGUCCGCUGGUUUUGAUGACCUUCAUGUUGUCGCGACUCGGUCUCGGUUGCUUCGGCAGCAUGGGAUAUGGGUGUCCACAGAUGCGUUGGACAACUUUAGAGAUGGCAUGGGCAACUUCAAGGCAAGCCUGAGCAGUGACCCGAGGGCUCUACUAAGCUUGUACAACGCAGCUCACAUGGCGGUACCGGGUGAUGGCCCGGCCCUCGACGAUGUCAUCAACUUCACACGGCACCAGCUCGAGACCAUUGUAGCAAAAGGUGAGCUCCGGUCGCCGUUGGCGGAGCAGGUCGCCCGCGCCCUCGACCACCCUCUCCCGUGGUUCACCAGGCUGCUAGAGACCAUGUAUUACGUUGGUGAGUAUGCGCAAGAGGAGACGCAUGACAAUACGCUGCUGGAGCUUGCUAGGCUCAACUCUCACCUCAUGAGGUCUCUUCACCUCAGGGAGCUAAAGGCAUUGUCCUUGUGGUGGAGGGAUCUUUACGACACGGUGAAUCUACCGUACACUCGAGACCGUAUGGUGGAGGUCUACUUUUGGAGUUGCGGAAUGAUCCCUGAGGAGGAACACUCACGCGCACGAUUGAUGUUCGCCAAGACGUUUGGGUUGGUGACUUUUCUUGACGAUACCUAUGAUGUCCAUGCCACCUUAGAGGAAUGCCGUAGUUUCACCAAAGCCAUGCAGAGAUGGGACGAUAGCGCGGUUUCUAUUCUACCUGAAUACCUUCGCAUGUUGUACAUCAAAACGCUAAGCACCUUCAAAGAUUUUGAGAAUAUGUUAAAACCGCACGAGAAGUACCGCAUGUCUUAUGCAAAAAAAGCGUACCAACUACAGGCGGAAUACUAUAUGCAAGAGGCCCAAUGGUCCAACGACAAGCACCAGCCGACCUUCAAGGAACACGAGGAGCUGUCGGUCAUGUCUUCGGGCUUGCCGAUGCUUAACCUCGAGGCCCUCAUGGGCUACGGCGCCAUAGUAACCAAGAAGGUAUUCGAGUGGACAUGCGCCGUCCCCGACGUAGUCCGUGCCGGUGCACAGAUCGGCCGCUUCCUCAACGACAUUUCCUCUUACAAGUUGGGGGAAGAAGGACGUGGCUAG